CCUUGAUCCAGCCAUGCCCGCGUGAGUGAUGAAGGCCUUCGGGUUGUAAAGCUCUUUUGGCGGGGACGAUGAUGACGGUACCCGCAGAAUAAGCCCCGGCUAACUUCGUGCCAGCAGCCGCGGUAAGACGAAGGGGGCUAGCGUUGUUCGGAAUUACUGGGCGUAAAGCGAGUGUAGGUGGUUGUCAUAGUCAGGUGUGAAAGCCUUGAGCUCAACUCAAGAAAUGCACUUGAUACUGGGCGACUAGAGGACCGGAGAGGAUAGUGGAAUUCCCAGUGUAGUGGUGAAAUACGUAGAGAUUGGGAAAAACACCAGUGGCGAAGNCGGCUAUCUGGACGGUUUCUGACACUAAGACUCGAAAGCGUGGGGGAGCAAACAGGAUUAGAUACCCUGGUAGUCC
rnacentral:rRNA from 1 species